CAGAGUGGAUGUCCCUCCCAAUCCACCGUCGAUGGCCACUGGUCUCCAGAGAACGUGGGCGACGGCGGAGUGGAGGACGAGCAUGCCGUCGCGCCCUGUUUGGAGCGGUGCGAGGUGCUGGUUUCUGCGAUCGCGGGGAUGCUGGCCGGCGCGCUGAGGGAGCACGACAAGCGGGCGGCCAUCAUCGCUCCGAUCCACGACGGGGACGCCGCUGCAAUCGACCACCUCAACGGAGGCGUGGAAAUGCGGCGACAUCCCAAAAUGUACUUGGCCUCUUUGGGAUUGAAACCUAUCUGUUGUUUCUUGCGACUAUUCAGGUGGCUAGAUUUCCAAUCCGGUAAAAAAAAUUGGACGCACCAAAUACCACUUGAAAGCAAGGAUUUUCAGCAUUCGCGAGAGGAUUUCAACAACGAACAUGCUACUCAAGUCCAUACAUCAACACAUAAACAACUUUGAUAGAAUUAUUUAUACUGGUGCCUCAGGUGGUUCUAUCAUUAUAAUAUUUUUGUCCUAUUGAUCUUCAUCUGUGAAUCAGCAGAGUGAAUCAGCAUGAACUCAUUUCUGUAUGUUUACAGAUUAUUCAUCUCCUGUACAGAAAGUUGAUAAUGAAGUUGGAUCAAGGUGCACCACUUAGUUCACCUUUUUUACCACUUCUCAUUGUUUAUCUUGUGCAUGUUGUCAAUUUAUAGAUUUUCC
rnacentral:misc_RNA from 1 species